GAUGAAGAACGUAGUGAAAUGCGAUAAGUAAUGUGAAUUGCAGAAUUCAGUGAAUCAUCGAAUCUUUGAACGCACAUUGCGCCCCCUGGUAUUCCGGGGGGCAUGCCUGUCCGAGCGUCAUUACAACCCUCAAGCUCAGCUUGGUAUUGGGCCCCGCCGCUUCGGCGGGCCCUAAAGUCAGUGGCGGUGCCGUCCGGCUCCGAGCGUAGUAAUUCUUCUCGCUCUGGAGGCCCGGUCGUGUGCUUGCCAGCAACCCCCAAUUUUUUUCAGGUUGACCUCGGAUCAGGUAGGGAUACCCGCUGAACUUAAGCAUAUCAAUAAGCGGAGGA
rnacentral:misc_RNA from 1 species